rnacentral:rRNA from 1 species
GACGAACGCUGGCGGCGUGCCUAAUACAUGCAAGUCGAGCGGGCCUCCGGAGGUGCUUGCACCUCCGGAAGGCCAGCGGCGGACGGGUGAGUAACACGUGGGCAACCUGCCUUUGAGGCCGGGAUAACACCGGGAAACCGGUGCUAAUACCGGAUACGUCCUCUUUCGCGCCUGCGAGAGGGGAGAAAGACGGUCUUUAAGGCCGUCGCGCAACGAGGGGGCGGCGGCGCAUUAGCUGGUUGGUGGGGCAAGGGCCUACCAAGGCGACGAUGCGUUGCCGACCUGAGAGGGUGAUCGGCCACACUGGGACUGAGACACGGCCCAGACUCCUGCGGGAGGCAGCAGUAGGGAAUCAUCCGCAAUGGGCGAAAGUCUGACGGUGCAACGCCGCGUGAGUGAGGAAGGUUUUCGGAUCGUAAAGCUCUGUUGUGAGGGAAGAACAGCAUCCGGAGGAAAUGCCGGAGGUUUGCCGGUACCUCACCAGAAAGCCCCGGCUAACUACGUGCCAGCAGCCGCAGUAACAC